GGAUUACAGGUGUAAGCCACUGCACCCGGCAAUUUUUAAAUAUAUAUAAUUAAAAAUUAAUUAAAAAAGGUAUUUGCAAGUUUCCGUUUUGUUAUAUACUUAUUAUUCUUUAUCUUUAUGUCAGGUUGCUGUGUCAAUACACUUAGGAGAUCAUAGUUUCUAAAUUGAAAUACAAAUAAAUAUGUCUCAAAUUUUUUCUUUUUUCUUUUUUUUUUGAGAUGGACUCAUUCUGUCACCCAGGCUGGAGUGCAGUGGUGCAAUCUCAGCUCACUGCAACCUCCGCCUCCCAGAUUCAAGUGAUUCUCCUGCCUCAGCCUCCAGAGUAGCUGGGAUUACAGGCACCCGCCAUGACACUCAGCUAGCUUUUAUAUAUUUUUUUUCUAUUUUUAGUAAAGACAGGGUUUCACCAUGUUGGCCAGGCUGGUCUCCAACUCCUGACCUCAGAUGAUCCUCCCACCUCGGCCUCCUCAAGUGCUGGGACUACAGGUGUGAGCCACUGUGCCUGGCCUGGAAUUUUUUUCUAAAAUUUACAUUUCUGAGUUAAGAAUGCUUAAAAUAUUAUAAAAACAGAAGCACAAUUCAUUAUGUGUUUCAUUAAUUACCUCUAUUAAAAACAACACAAUUAUAUUACAAUAGGACAAAAAAAAAUGUUUAAGCAAAUGAAAACAAAACCAUGACAUACCCAAACUCAGGAGGAGGCAACAAAGGCAGUGCUAAAGGGAAGCUUACAGCCACAGAUGCUUAAAUUAAAAAGAAGAAAGAUCUCAAAGCCAUGCUAAAGGGAAGCUUAUAGCUGCAGGUGAUCAAAUUAAAAAGAAGAAAGAUCUCAAAUCAAUAACCUAACAUUACACCUAAAGGGAAAAAAAAAAAAACUAAUGACAAACCAAGCAAAAGGAAGAAAAUAACAGAUUAGAACAGAGAUAAGCAGAAUAAGACCAGAAAAAAAGGAAAAAAAAAACCACUGAGUUUGUUUUUUUAAAGAUCAAUAAAAAUUUUAAAACUCACAGCUAUAUUAAGAAAAAAAGAGAAAUCUCAAAUACUAAAAUCAUAAAUAAAAGAGGUGACAGUACAACAGAUUCCACAGAAAUGAAAAAGAUUACAAGAGACUAAUGUGAGCAACCAUAUGCCACAGAACUGGGCAACCUAGAAUAAAUUUAUAAAUUCCUAGAAACACAAACCACCAUACUGCAUCAUGGAGAAAUAAAAAAUCCAAAGAGACCUGUAACUAGUAAGAAGAUUCAACCAGUAAUCAAAAACCCCCCAAAAAAGAAAAUUCCAGGUCCAGAUAACUUCACUGGAAAAUUUUACCAAACAUUUCAAGAAGAAUUAAUGCCAGCCCUUUGUAAAAUAUUCCAAAAAUGUUCAAAAACCAGAAGGGGACAUUCCAAUCCACUCUAUCAGGUCAACAUUUAUCUGGUUCCAGAGCCAGAUGAACACCUUUUGUAAUAAAAACACUCAAAGAAUUAGUAAUAUAUGGAAACUCCUCAGUAAAUAAAGAUUAUACAUGAAAAGCUCACAGCUAACAUCAUACUGAAUGGUGAAAAACUAAAAUCUUUUCCUCUAGGAUCAGGAAUAAGAUAGCAACAUCUCUUCCUGCCACUUCUAUUCACCACAGUACUGGAAUUUCUACUCAGAAUAAUUAGGCAAGAGAAAGUAAUAAAAAGCAUGCAAAUUGGAAAGGAAAAAGUACAAAAUUUUGUUCACAGACAACAUGAUGUAAUGUGUAAAAAUCCUGAAAUUCCACAAAAUACUGGUAGAAUAAUGAAAUUCAACAAAGUUUCAGGAUACAGUAACACACACAAGUCAGUUCCAUUUCUAUAAACUAACAAUGAACAAUCUGCAAAUAAAAUUUUAAAAAGAGGCCAGGUGCAGUGGCUCACAGUUGUAAUCCCAGCACUUUGGAAGGCCAAGGCGGGUGGACCACCUGAGGUCAGGAGUUCGUGACCAGCUGGGUCAACCCCAUCUCUAAUAUAAAUAGUAAAACUCUAUCGCUAUUAAAAAUACAAAAAUUAGCUGGGCAUAGUGGCAGACACCUGUAGUCCCAGCUACUUGGGAGGCUGAGGCAGGAGAAUUGCUUGAACUUGGAAGGUGGAGGUUGCAGUCAGCUGAGACUGUGCCACUGUGCUCCAGCUUAGGAAACAGAGUGAGACACCGUCUCAAAAAAAAAGAAAGAAAGGAAAGAAAGAGAGAGAAAGAAAAGAAAAGAAAGAGAAAACAAAAGAAAAGAAAUUUUUAAAAAGAAUGACAUUUGGCUGGGUGCAGUGGUUCAUGCCUGCAAUCCCAGCAGUUUGGGAGGCCGAGGUGGGCAGAUCACCUGAGGUCACAAGUUCAAGAAUAGCCUGGUCAACAUGGAGAAACACUGUCUCUACUAAAAAUACCAAAAAGUUAGCUGGGCAUGGUGGCGCGCACCUGUGAUCCCAGGUACUUGAGAGGCUGAGGUUGGAGAAUCGCUUGAAUAAGGAAGGUGCAGGUUGCAGUGACCUGAGAUAGUGCCACUGCACUCCAGCCUGGGAGACAGAGCAAGACUCCAUCUCAAAAAAAAAAAAUUAUAUUUACAACAGCAUUAUAAAAAUUAGAAAUAAGCUUAACCAAGAGGGCAAAAGAUUUGAACACAGAAAACUACAAAACACUGUUAAAAGAAAUUAAACACAAAUAAAUGAAAAGAAAAGCUGGGUUUGCAAAUUAGAUGAUUUCAUCUUGGAAUGAUGUCAACACUACUCGAAGUGACCUAGAUUCAAUACAAUCCUUAUAAAGAUUCCAAUGACAUUUUUGAUAAACAGAAAAACCUAUCCUAAAACUCAUAUGGAAUCUCCAGGGCCCAUGAAUAGGCAAAUCAAUCUUGAAACAGAACAAAAUUAAACGUCUCAAAGCAAUUACAAAACUGCAAUAAGCCAAAAAGAAAAAAUGUGGUCAUGGCAUAAAGACACUCUUGACACACUUAUGGACCAACACAACAGAGACCUCAGAAACCAACCCUGGCAUAUAUGGUCCGAUGAUCUUCCAGAAGGAUGCCAAGACCACUCAAUGGAAAAGCACAGUUUCUUCAACAAGUGAUGAUGGGAAAAUUGUAUAACUACAUGCAAAACAAUGAAGUUGGACUCUUACCUUACACCACGUUAAAAUCAAUUCAAAGUGAAUUAUAAACCUAAAUGUAAAACUAGAACUAUCAAACUCCUAGGGAAAACAAAUUUGGAAAAUGCUUUAUGACGAUGAAUUUGUCAAUAAUUUUUAGGAUAUGACAUUAAAAGCUCAGGCAGUAAAAGCAAAAAUAUAUCAAACCUAAAAACUUCUGUACCUCAAAGGUCACAACCAACAGGGUAAAAGGCAAACUGUAAAAUUAAAAAAAAUACCAGUUGAGUGUCCCUUAUUUGAAAUGCUUGGGAUGUGUUUCAGAUUUUGUAAUAUUUGCACUAUUCUUACUGGUUGAGGAUCUCAAAUUCAAACACCUGAGUCUGAGAUGCUCCAAUAAGCAUUUCCUUUGAGUGUCAUGUUGGCACUCAAAAAGUUUCAGACUUUGGAGCAUUUGGGAUUUCAGAUUUUUGGAUCAGAGACAUUCAACCUAUAGUUGCACAUCAUGUAUCUCAUAAGAAGUGAACAUUCAGAAUGCGUAAAGAACUCCUACAGAGAGACUACCAGAAGCAGAGAGGAGCAAACACAUUUUCACACUAGGGAACCUGCUAUCUCUCCUGGAUUCCAAUUAGGGCAGAGUAAGUGCUAGUUCUCUGCCAACCCAGGAUUAGGCCCUGCAGCUGCAGUGAAAAUAAUCACAGAAGAAAACUAAGAAAUAAAAAAUGGAGAAAGUGAGACAUCAAACUAGAAUUACUAGAAACCCCCAGGAAGAAGGAAAAAAAAUCCAAGAAAACAGAAAAACAAUCAAACCAGUUAAUUAAACCUUGGUGUGACCAGAAGAUCAGGGUUUCCUAAAGGAGUGGAAAUUUAUUGACUUGAAGGCGAUUUAUUGAUUACUGAUUUGAAGAGGAAGAAAACCAUGAAUGGUCUAAAGCAAAAGCCUAGUGUCUGAAGAAGUCAGUAGGGUGAAAACAAGAGCUGACCAGAAUAUCCACAGAUGGUGACAAGUUGGCAAAGCCUUUACUAGACUACUUGUGAAGCUAACUAGAGGCCAAGGAGCCAACACUGCCCCUGUCCUUACAGAGAGACCCUACACAGGAUUCCCAGAUAUACAUGGAAGGACAACAUCUUAUCAGGUCCUCUCUGUGCAGAUGUGGUUAUCAUUCCAAAUAAUGAGCUCCAGCCCCAAGACUGUUCCAUCCUCAAUUGCUUUGAGUGGGCAAUGUAGGCUCUCCACACACGAGCUACAUGUAGGUUCCUUGGGUACCCAGAUGGGAGCCGUGAAACAUAAACCCUCCAUGGUCAGGUCAAUAUCUGUUUCCUGCCUUUUUCCCAGCAAUCCCCAGGCCUCAGCAGCAGUGGUCUACCUCUGCUGAUUCUCAUUCAGAAUCUAAACUUAGAAACAAUUAGAACCUAGACCCGAAUUCUACCUGAAAGUAACAGAAUAACAUAAUCUAUACCCUGCAGCAUGACUGUUUGCCCAACGUAAUGAGGAUGAACUGAGAGAUAAUGAAUGAUCAUGACCCUGGCCCAAGUAACAAGAAUGAACUGUGAGAUAAAUGAAUGCUCAUGACCAAAAAACCCAGCUACAACACAACAAAAUAAAGUGAUUAAAAAAUGGACAAAGAACAUUCAUCCAAAGAUGCAAAGAUGAUAUACAAAUAGCCAACAGAUACAUGAGAUAUAUGAGAAGAUGUGUAACAUCACUAAUCAUUAGAGAAAUGCAAAUAGAAACCACAAUGGGACAUCACUUCAAACCCAACAGAAAGUAACAAGUGCAGGUGAAACUGAAACACUUGAACACUGUUGGUGGAAAUAUUAACUGGCUCCUCAAAAAAAUAAAAUAAAAUGACCAUAUGAUCCAGCCAUCCAACUUCUACAGAGACAGAAUAACUAGUAGCAGGACCUCAAACAGAUAUGUGUACACCUGUGUUCACAGGAGCAUUACAUAGCCACGAGGUGGAAGAAACCAAAACGUCCAUCCAGGAAUAGAUGGAUAAACAAAAGAAUAUACAUAUAUAUAUAUAUAGAGAAAAUAUAUAUAUAUGAAGAAAUAUUAUUCAGCCAUAGAAAGGAAGAAAAUCCUGACACAUCUGCACAUAACAUGGAACCUACUUAAAAAACAAAUAUUAUAUAACCCUAGGUAUAUAAGCCAAAUUUUUAGAAACACAAAGUAGAAUAGUACUUGCCAGGAGGUGGAAGGAAGGGGAAAUUAAUAGUUGUUGAAUGGGUAUAGAGUUUUCUAAGAUAAAAAAAAAUCUAGAAAUCUGCUACACAACAAUGUAAAUAUUCUUAACUCUACAAAACUGUAUACUUACAACUGGUUAUGAUGGUAAAUUUUAAGGUAUGUGUUUGUUACCAAAAUUCGAAAUUAUAAAUUAUUUAUAAAAAAUGAUCUUUUUUGACACACGGUCUUACUCUGUUGCCCUGGCAGGAGUGGAAUGGCAUGAUCACAGCUCAUUGCAGCCUCAACCUCCCAGGCUCAAGCAACCCUCCCACCUCAGCCUCCCAAAUAGUUAGGACUACAGGUGCACACCAAGAUGUCAGGCUAAAUUUUGGUUUGGUUUUUUGUAGAGAGGGUUUUGCCAUGUUGCCCAGGCUGGUCUCAAACUCCUGGGUUCAAGCAAUCCACCUCCCUUGGACUCACACAGAGCUGAGAUUAUGAGCAUAAGCCAACAUGCCCAGCCUAUAAAAAAUUAUUUCCAAAAGCCAAAAGAUUAAUCAAACUGGAAUAUUUAGAAAUAUUUAACCCAAAAGAAGUUAGGAAAGAAUAUAUAGAAGAUCAAAAGACAGACGAAGGCCAGGCAUGGUGGCUCAUGCCUGUAAUCUGAACACUUUGGGAGGCCAAGGUGGGUAGAUUGCUUGAGCUCAGUAGUUCAAGACCAGCCUGUGCAACAUGGCAAAACCCUAUCUCUACAAAAAUAUAAAAAUUAGCCAGGUGUGGUGCCAUGCACUUGUAGUCCCAGCUACUCAGGGGGCUCAAGUGAGGAUUGGUUGGGCCUGGGAGGCAGAGGUUGCAGUGAGCCAAGAUUGCACCAUUGCACUACAGACUGGGUGACAGAACAAGACCCUGUCUUAAAAAAAAUAAACAAACAAAUAGAAAAUAAGUAGAAAAAUGGCAGACCUAAAUCCAACCUUAGCAAUGAUUAGUUACAAUGUAAGUGGACAAAUACUCUACUUAAGACAGAGACUGCCAGACCUGAGAGGAAGGCAAGACCCAACAAUAUGGCAUCCACAGAGACACAAUUUAAACACAAAGACACAAAGUAUGAGAAAAAAUAUGCUAUGCAGAUGCUAAACAUAAAAAUAUGCUAUCCAGACACUAAUCAUAAAAAGCUUCAACAGAGAUGUUAACACUAGAUGAAAGAGGCUUCAGAACAAAAUAUAUCACCAGAAAUAAACAGGGUAAUUUAAUAAAAAUAAAAGAAUCAGAGAGGAUGAUGUUACAAUUAUAAAUUGUGCCUCAAAGUGCACACAAACUACACACACACACACAGAACCUCAAAGUAUGUGAAUCAAAAACAACAGAACAAAAGCAGGAAAUUGACAAUCCAAAAUUAUAGCUGGUGAAUUAAUACUGCUCUCUCAGUAACUGACGGAACAACCAGAUAAAAAUAUAGGAAAAAUACGGAUCUAAAUGACAAAAUCCUGACCCAAAUGGUACUUGGCAGUGCCAAGAUAGACUGUAUGUCGAUGGAUUGAGAAAAGGUUCAAGCCUGAAAUAGUAUACAAAGGAUGUUGUCUGAACACUUGAAAUUAAAUUAGAAACCAACAACAAAUUGAUAUCCAGAAAAGCCUCAAAUGUCUGAAAACCAAGUAAUAAACUUUGAAAUACCCUGUGAGUCAAAAAAGUAUUCACAAGGGGAACUGGAAUGUAUUUGGAAUAAACUUGUUAUAAAAAUCUCAUUUCUGGUAGACUAAAGGUGACAAAUUCUUUCCUGCUCCUCUCUCUGUGAGAACCAAUUCCCCUUAAACCUUGACCAGACUACUGACUUAUUUGGCCAACAGAAGGUGACAAAGCUGGUAUUUGGGGACUUCAGAAGCCAGGCUGAGAAAACAGAACACUUACCCAGGAGAAAGCCAGUCACCAGGCAGGAAAUCCCACUCCCCUGAGACCUCAUGAUGGAAACCACAAGGCCAGUCCAUGACUAGCUACACGCAUUGACAUCCCCCACUGAGCCUCCAGCAACACCGACUCCCAACAACUAGUGAGCCUCCAGCAACAUCCACUCCCAACCACUAGUGAGCCACCCUGCACACCACCCCACUGUGCUUUCACACAAUCCAGCUUGGCUGCAACUGUGUGUGAGAUGAGCUGGCCACCAAGACUCUCUAAGCCAAAAAACAAGUAAUAAUGAGUUGUUUUACUUCAGAAUAGAUAACUGGAACAGAAUAUGGCAGCUGGAAAUGAGCUGCUGUGGUAAUCAGAAGCUACAAUAUGUGACACGACUGUGAGGCUGACCUGUAACUGGGCCUCAAGGAGACCAUUCAUGCAACCUGGAAGGGCAUCAAGACUCUUGGUCAGGGCCUGAAGGACGGUGAGAAAAUGUCAUUGGAAACUGGAGAAAAGGUCUGAGAGUUACUUGCUGAGGGACUGUGGGAAAACUAUGGCCACAACAUGGAAACUGAAAGGGCACUGCACCAUCUCAGGGAUCUGCCUAAGGAGACAUCUGGGAAGAACAUGGAAAGUGCUACCAGCCUCCCCUAACUGUCACUGAAUAAAUAUGACAGGAGAGGGACAUGAUCUAAAGAAGAAGGUUCAGUUUUCAAACAGAAUUUAGAGAAAAUAUAAAGAAAUAAUUUCUUGUCUCAAAAGGCCAAAGUAAAAAAAAAGAAAAGAAAAGAAAAGGAAAAAAAAUGAAAAAGAAGCCAUUGAAUACCCUAUUGACCAUAAGAAAAAGGCAGGGAAAGCUGGUCAACGGCAACCCAGGCACUGAAGGAAAAAGAACAUGGAGAAUGACAAAAGCCCAGAGGGAGGAGUAAAAGGACACAAACACCAUUCUCAGGGACCAGGACUGGGCGCCGUUUUCAGGGACCAGGACUGGGCACUAAUCACAGAACUGUAACAGGCGCCCCAUGGGAAUGACCAACUGUUAGACGGGGCCUGCAGGGCAGCACUUCCCUCUUGCCUCCCACCAAAGCUUCUAAAGGGAAAUGUCGACUGUUUUCACAGCAGUCCCCUCACUGCGGCUAAGUUUGUGGGCUCAGAUGAUAGCUCACAACAACCUGAUUCAGUCCCCACUGUGGCUGUGUGUGGGGGGUCAGAUGACAGGCCACCACAACCUGAUUCAGUCCUCACUGCAGCUGAGUGUGUGUGGGUGCAGAUGACAAGCCACCACAACCUGAUUCAGGAUUCAGUUGGGCUACUAGCCAGUGCCAUAAGGAAAACCAUUCUGGGGCUCUUGAGAGGGGCAAAGCAUAAUUUGCAUGUGGGAGAAACGUUAAUAGUUUGUGGCCAGAGGACAAGCUGUGGUUUAUUAAAGACUGCUGCAGGUUCCUACUAUGCUUCUCAUCAAGAGGUGGAAUCUAAUCACCUUUCCCCCUUGAAUCAUGGCUGGUCUCAGUGAUGAGUACAACUGGACAGUGUGGCAGGAGAGAUGCUCUGGGACUUCUGAGGGAUGAUCAUGAGAGACCUUACAGCUUCUGCCUGGGCCUCUUGGACACACACCCUGGGAGAAGCCAGACAAACCUGACUACCUGAUGCUACCAGACUGGAAGGAAGUCCGUGCUGGCCACAAAGAGAGGGCUGGGUGCCUGCUCCAUGUCCCCAGCCACUAGAGUCCUUCUGGGUGCCUGCUUCACAUCUCCAGCCACUAGAGUCCUUCCAGAUGAGACCAGGGACAUCAUGAAGCAACCAACCCACACCGCUCUGUCCAGUGUCUUGACCCAGAAAAUUGUGACAUGUAAAAAGAAUAAAUUCCUGGUUUAAGCCAGUAAGGUUAUGGGUACAUUGUUACAUCUCAGAUAAUUAAAACCUUGAAAAACUCAUGAGAGAUCACAAGUAGAACCUUGAUCUGAAACAUGGCAUGUGGCGAUUUAUAUUGAGUAUUAGGUUAAAAAUGCAAGAAUGGAGCAUAGUUAAUAUUUUACAUUAAAGCUAAAACCAUAAUUGCCUACUUAAAAUUUUCAGUUAAUUAGGUUGUCACUUUUUGUUCUUAACCAAGAAAUCAACUAGUUUUAGUCCAUAAACAGUUAGAACUGAUGCACACAUCCGUUUUUCCUUACUCAUUUUAAACAGCUAUCUGAAAUAGGAAGUGUAAUGUAAUCUUUAAAGAAUCUGAAAACAUGACAGAAAUGUUUAAACUAUAAACAUAUAUUGUAUAUGUUAGCAUAUUGUAUACAUUGUAUAUUAACAUAAGCUAGAAUCAUUGACAUAAAUUUAUAUAAACAAAAGGUAUAAAAUAUGAUAAUGUUCUUCUUGUUUUUUGUCUUUGCAUAUUUCUUUAUUGGCCCUUGUCAAACGUGACCCACUAACUCCUGAAUGCUUUGUCUCUCCCCAUGGAUUCCUAAGGAUGUCACCACAGUGUUGGCCAGAUGCACAGGUCACAGGGGACUGAACCUCAUCACCCCACAAACAUACCAUUCAGGUUUUGCCAAGAAUGACACUGUAAAUGUAACAAAGCUUCUGUGCUUGUUAGUGAACACCAACUCAGCUCCUCUCCUGUAUUCAGAAAUCAGGAUGAGAUGAAAACAACAAGCAGGCCAGGCACGGUGGCUCAGGCCUGUAAUCCCAGCACUUUGGGAGGCCGAGGUGGGCAGAUCACCUGAGGUCGGGAGCUCGAGACCACCCUGAUCAAAACAGAGAAACCCCAUCUCUACUAAAAAUACAAAAUUAGCCAGGCGUGGUGGCAAAUGCCUGUAAUACCAGCUACUCAGGAGCUGAGGCAGGAGAAUUGCUUGAACCCGGGAGGUGGAGGCUGCAGUGAGCCGGGAUCACACCACUGCACUCUAGCCUGGGCAACAAGAGUGAAACUCUGUCUCAAAAGAAAAAAAAUUAAAAAUAAAAGAACAAGGAAACAAAAGUAACAAGGCUUGACACCAGAUGAGCCUGAAUCUAAGCAAGAAAAGCCCAGAAAAAAUCCCAUUUUGGGUCACUGGCUGCAUGGUAGUAAUACCAUACACAUAAGGGAAGAGAGGAGGAUGUGGCUUUCACUUUGAAUUUUUUUAGCUUAAGGUAACAUUUGCGUAGCUACAAAUAAGAAUUCAACAGAGAGUUAAACCUAUGAUGGAAAGAUUGAAGGGGUCCAAGCUGUAGAGAAACAGGACUGCAAACCACAAAGGGCAGAAUCAGUCAAGGAGAGCUGCAGGGCGGGAUGAACAGGGACCAAUGGAACAUUUGGACAAGUCAAAUGUUUCAAGAGUUUGCAUGCAGCCAUCUCUAAAAUGUCAAAUGGUAUCUCUUCAACUGGAAUGACAAGAGAUUAAAAAAAAUGUGCAACCAUAAGGCCACCAUAACCUAUGAGUGACAUGCUAAACUGGAAACCCAAAACAAUGGGAGUGACAUGCUAAACCAGAAACCCAAAACAAUGGGAGUGACUUGCUAAAACUGGAACCCAAAACAAUGGGAGUGACGUGCUAAAACCGGAAACGAAAACAAUGGGAGUGAUGUGCUUAAACUGGAACCCAAAACAAUGGGAGUGACCUGCAAAACCAGAAACCCAAACAAUGGGAGUGAGGUGCUAAAACCAGAACCCAAAAC
rnacentral:lncRNA from 10 species